UGAGCAAUCUGCCCUUCUCUUUGGAAUAAGCGUUGGAAACGACGUCUAAUGCCGAAUACGACCUCCUUUCGCAUGAUCGGAGGUGGAAAGCUCCGGCGGAGAAGGAUGAGCUCGCGGCCUAUCAGCUUGUUGGUGAGGUAAUAGCGCACCAAGGCGAUGACGGGUAGCCGGCCUGAGAGGGUGACCGGCCACACUGGGACUGAGACACGGCCCAGACUCCUAGGGAGG
rnacentral:rRNA from 1 species